GACGAACGCUGGCGGCGUGCUUAACACAUGCAAGUCGAACGGAAAGGCCCUGCUUUUGUGGGGUGCUCGAGUGGCGAACGGGUGAGUAACACGUGAGUAACCGGCCCUUGACUUUGGGAUAACUUCAGGAAACUGGGGCUAAUACCGGAUAGGAGCUCCUGCUGCAUGGUGGGGGUUGGAAAGUUUCGGCGGUUGGGGAUGGACUCGCGGCUUAUCAGCUUGUUGGUGGGGUAGUGGCUUACCAAGGCUUUGACGGGUAGCCGGCCUGAGAGGGUGACCGGCCACCUUGGGCCUGCGAUACGGCCCAGACUCCUACGGGAGGCAGCAGUGGGGAAUAUUGCACAAUGGGCGGAAGCCUGAUGCAGCAACGCCGCGUGCGGGAUGACGGCCUUCGGGUUGUAAACCGCUUUCGCCUGUGACGCAGCGUGAGUGACGGUAAUGGGUAAAGAAGCACCGGCUAACUACGUG
rnacentral:rRNA from 1 species